CUGUCGUCCCCGCAGCCAGGGAGGUGCGGUGCCCUCGGCGCGGCCUUUGCCCCGGCCGCCGAGCGCUGACACCUCUGCGUCCCACUCCGCCGCCAGCCGGGUUCCCGCCCUCCCUGCCCUCUGUCUUCUGCGGCUUGCCAUGUGUUCGCCUUUGCAGCGUUGCUCUCGACUCUGAUCUCUGCUGCUUCUGAAUUUUGUCAGGAAAGAGGCCACGGUGUGAUUCUUGUCUUCCUUCCACCGAGGGCGUGUGAGGAGUGUCGAGGUGGUGGGUUUGUGGCUUGUCUCCUUACCCAGAAAGUUAAGAACAGUGUCUUCUGCUGAGUUGUGUAAUUUGCUGUUGUAAGGAGAAGAGCAAGGAAGGACAGUUGUGUCCCCCGCGUCCUCCCCCCCUCCCAUCUGAGAUUUCCUCACAGGAUAGAAAACUAUCCUGCGUUUAGGGGACCUUUCAUCCCUUGGGAAAAGAGCUAACCGGUCAGAAACAGUGAGUGUGUUGCUGUUGGGAAGGGAAAAUCAUUUUGUCACUGCUUUGAAGGAAGUACUGUGUAAGAAAUGGUAUAAAAGGGCAAGAGGUUAAUGGGCCAAGCGUUACAGGCACCUGCCACUGUUUUCUGCUUCUUGGGUGGCUGAAAAUACUGUUUUUAUUAGAGUCAAAGUGUCGACUCUCAGAAUUAACCAGGGUAGUUAGCCUUCAAAAGCAGGCAGUUAUAAGAGAUGAUGCUGGAAACAGGAUUUGGAAACUUUCUUUGAGUUUCCUGUCAGAAUGUGUGGGGGUAGACACACCAAUGAGUACUUUUUUUUCUUUUGAUGUAAUUGAUUUCUGUAACACUUUGAUAUAAUGAGUACUAGAUUAGGUCCCAGACUCCUUCCUGUCUUUACGCUUUUCUGUAACACUUUGUUUCAAAAUUAAACUUACAUUUUCGGAUAUUCUUUCUUAGUAUGGUGUUUCAGUGAAUCUUGUUUAGUUUCUUGCUACUUCAGGUUCUGUUAUGAUUGUGUUCAUUAGCAAGGAUUUUAUCUGUCCCAAUAUUUGUCGAAUGAGUUGAGUGGUCCGUUUACACAUCUCCUAUCUUUUUGAGAGGAACCUUUAUGUUAAAUGUUGCAGUCCACUUGCAUUAUAAAAAUGUCAUUCUUGGGGUUGGGGAUUUAGCUCAGUGGUAGAGAGCUUGCCAAGCAAGCACAAGGCCCUGGGUUCAGUCCCCAGCUCCGAAAAAAAGAAAAAAAAAAUGUCAUUCUUAACCAUUUCUAGAAUAUGGUGAAAUAUAUGGACUCACUCCUCCUAUGUCCAGGAAAAACAAAACAGGCAUUUAUGCACAGAAUUUUGUAUUCAACUUCUGGACUCCUCUAAAGCCACCCAUAGAUAGUCAACUUAAAGUGAAUUGAGAUAUCCAUGUUACUCAGUUUUAUAUUAAAAGUUUUCAGAAGUGCACACUUUUUGUGGCCUCGGGUGUGAUUGUGUCUUCACCUUAAACUCUGGGGAUUUUGGAACAAAAUUUAAAUGGAUUACAGUUUUAUAAGGAAAAGUUCUCAGUAUCCCACAUCCUCCUCCACCCCCACCCCCAGUCUCAUGUAGCUCAGUGGUGUAACUGAGGAGGACGUUGAACUACUAGUUCUCUUGCCUUUACCUCCAGGGUGCUUGGAUAGGUGUGUGCUCCACUGCCUGGCUUAUGUGGCGCUGGGGAUGAAUCGCAGCUUCAUGCAUGGUGGGUAACUUUUAGCAGUCAUUUUGUUUGUAGUCUGGGAUCUAACCCAGAGCCUCAAGCAUGGUUGGCAAGCACUUUGCCACUUAGCUGUAUUCCCAGUUCUAACCAGUAGCCAUUUUAAAACCAAGACUCCCUAGUAUCUUUUGGUCCCCUAAACCCAUAAUCAGACUAGGCAGGCUUUUAUUUAGGUAUUCUUUGUUUUAGUAAUAUGAGCAUUUGAAAAUCAAAUAAUUCUUCUUUUUCUCUUUCAAGCUUGUUCCUAUGUGUGGUCUUUAUGUAGUUAAUUGUGAAAAUAUGCGAUAUUCAGUAAGUACUUAAUUGAAUGUUACUGUAAAAAAAGAGUUCUUGCUGUCCUCCUUUCAGUCAGGAAGGACAGACCAUAACCAACUAAAUGUGGAGUGUCGGGUGUAGAGCUGUGUGGAAGAGUGAAGAGUGGUGAGGGGUUAGAGAACAACACUGGCAGAGGAUACUUGAGACUGGAGCAGAGACCUGAAGGAAGUCAGGAGGGAUGUGUGCUUCCUCGUACGCAAGAAGAUCACAGGGAUGGCCUUCUAGGGCAGAGACCCUAGAGUACAUGUGACCCUUUUGAGAGCAGCUAAGAGGACAGUGUGGUAAGAACAGUAAGUAGGGAGAGAGGAGGGCUUGAGAUUAGAGAAGUAACUGGGGUCCUUAUGCUCAACAGUAGUAGGACUUUUGGAUUUUACUUUGAAUGAGAUGGGGGAACCCUUACUGUAGAAAAGAGACCUUAUCUGACCUAAGCUUAUGGACAUCAUUCUGACUACUGCUGUGGAAGUCAACUCAGGUGGGGAAGGAAGACUGGAGUAGGAUUUAGACAUUUUUUUUUGUUUUCCUCUUCAGUUUCUGGGGGUUGUACUCAGGUCCUUGCACUUGCUAGGCAAAUGCCCAAUAACCAAGUUACCUCCUGCCCAGUGUCUUCGUUUCUCUCCUUUCAGCCAUGUUGAAGUCGUCCGUCUUCUUUCUGUUGGGCACGUAGGUGUCUUCCCUUCCCCAGUAAAAUAACAAUGGCAUUUCACAUAGUGUAGCCAACAUUUUUUUCUUUUGGAGUAUUUCCUUGUGAUUUAUUUCUAAAAGAAUCACCAUAUGAAUAGACUUAAAUAGUUGGUCAUCUUGUUUUAACAUUAAGUGUCAUGGCAAUUUAGUUUUCAUUGGGGGUUAUCAACACAAAAGAUUGUUAUGGUCACAAAUGAGAUUCUUUUACACAGGUUAUAUUUAGCUCACCUCUGCUUUUCAGCAUUAACCACAGAGUGCUACUUGUUGGGGAAAAGAGGGAUGAAUUCGAGGACCCUUGCUCUCAGGGGACUUUUACAUUCGUCUGUGUUUUAUAAUCUAAUAGUGAAAUAACUGAGCCUUGGCAGUGUUUUUUACUACUGUGAACUUUGUGGGUGGUUGAUGGUCUUAUAUAAAAUAAAUUUCUAGUUGUUCCUUCUGGCGGUUACUUUUUCUAUAAGGAAUUUUCUAUAAGGAGUUUUUUAUUGGCCUCUAUAAUUUGCUUAUGUUCUGUAUGAUGUUUUUAGAAUCUUAUUUGUGACAGUAAUUUAUAUCAAGUAGACCUUAGUUAAGAGCAGUUGAAUUUGAAAUUGUAGUGCCUGUUAUUCAGAAAAUAGACUGCUGUUGUGUUCUGCAAGGCCAGCUUUGAAUCUUUGACAUUUAGUUUUAAGAGGAGAAUGAUACCAGUUUGUUUUCAUAGAAAAUUAUACCACCAAGGCUUUGUUCAGCAUUCCUGGUUCUGGAAUCUAGAUGACUUGACUUGGUCUGAGCCAAAACUGUGCCAUGUGUAGAGGGAGGGAGGACAGCUGAGUUCCCAGAAAGCACCUAACACUGUGAAGCAUGUGCUAGAGGUCCAGGGAGUAUUCACAGAGCUCAGUGCUCAAGGGUCUUGGCUCCAAACAGCUCUCAUUUCAGACAGUCAAUAGAAAUGACUUGUACAGAGCAUUUAUAUCUUCUUAUUCUGGUACAUUUAAAAUAGCAAACUUAAACUUAUUUCCCCUUAAUGUUCUUUUACAAAUCAAGCUAAUCAUUGGUGAGAGCAUAGUUCAAGUAUUUUAUGCUUAUUUCAAUAUUGUAGUGGAAAUUACUGCAUUAUUUAAUGUAGAUUUUUAUCAUGUAGAAAAUACUAGCAUUAAAUAGACAUAUGUAAGCUUUUAUAUGUUAAUGAGAGGAAGUUGAAGAAUCCUUUGUGUAUGCCUGUGUGUGUACAUAUCACAAGUAAUAAUUUUUAUGUGCCUUUUAGUAUUUCGUAUACUUAAUUUACAUUUUGAGUUUUUUGUAGUAGUGGUUAUGGUUAUGCAGUGAGCGAUCUUGGCCUCCCUUCCUUGGGCAUACAGUUUUGAGAUGACUGGUGAAUUUGUUUAAAAGUUAAAUGAUCCUGACGAUCAUUUAAAGUUAAACAUAUAAAGUUAGCUUUAUUCAUUAUUAUGUUCUGAUUGGCAAAGCAGCUCAGCAAAGAACUGUGCCAUGCUCUCAUUUCUUCUUGAAAAUAGGCCUUUCAGAGUGAGGGAUACGACUGCACUCACACAUGCACCAAUAUAAAAAGGGAAGUUGUGUGAUUAUUAAGGUAAAACUGAAAUAAGAAAUGGUGUACUUUCAUAAGAGGAAUAAAAAUAGUCCUUUUAGUAGUAUUUUCAGAAGCACCUGAUGUACACCUGGGACAUUAACUGCUUUGUGAAAUAAACUUUAGUUAUUAUACAAGUGAAUGACUUUUUUAAAAGAACACUUAGCUUACCUAGGGCAUAUCAAUUUUCUGUAGAUAAAUCUGAAAGAAUCUUUUUGUAAGUCACUCUAAUUUUUGCCAGUUUUUUAAGCUUAUUUAGCUCAUAAUUAUAGGUUAAACAAAGCUUAAAAUAAAGCAUGUAAAUCAUGUUUGGUUUCAGAAUAUAAUACAAUUCAGUUAUAUUUCCUAAGAAUAUUAAAGUACCAGUAACAGAUAAAACCACGUUUGAGUUAAUUAACAAUUUAAAGGGCCUCACUUUGAACUGAAAAGUCAGAACUGGAGUUAUACCUGGCUGUGAGCCACCAUGUAGUGCUAGGCAUUGAAACUGGGGCCUCUGGGAGAGUAACCAGUGUUCUUAACCGCUGAGCCAUUCUCCUGCCCCGUAUUCAUGUUUGUUUGUUUGUUUGUUUGUUUGUUUUUCCAGUGCUGCUUUAUACUGACUUAUUGUGUGUGUGAAAAAUUUAUUUUGCUCUGGAUAAGAUGGUGGUUUAGUUUUGUACAGAGGUAGAAAGAACCAGGUGCAGUGUUGGACAGAAUCCUGAUGGUGUUGAUGGAUCUCUUAUUGCAGACUGCCAGACAUGUUGACUAGAAAGCCCAUUCAUUCACUUUAUUUUCAGUGACAUUUUUAAAUUCACUUAUAAAUAAAAUCAUUCUGUUCCAGAUAGGUCGGUGAUAUAAUACAACAUUAAGACAACAGAUUCUGUGUUGUCUUGUAGUAGUUGGCAUUUAGCACUGAUUUUAGAAUUUUAUGUAGUUUAUAGUCUAGCACAAAUCUAUUGGAUGUGUUUGAAACUGUCCUUUCGGUUCAAAUGUAAAGUAUUGUAUACUUUCAUUAACAGACCUAGUCAGCCAUUGAACCAAUAUCUUAAGUAUAAAUUUAUUUUAUUUUACUUUACUUUAUUUUCUGUGUAUGGGUGUUUUGUCUGCAUGUAUGUCUGUGUACCAAAUGAGUGCCAGGUUAAAUAAGCCAGAAGAGGGUGACCCAUACCCUGGAACUAGAGUUAAGAUGGUUUUUAGCUAGUGCAUGGGUGCUGGGAGCUGGGAACAUGGGUGCUGGGUGCUCUAGUUCUCUGGAAGGGCACUAAGGGUUCUUAAACUCUGAGCCAUCUCUCUAGCCCCUAAAAGAUUUUUAUUACCAUACUUAUGAUCUGUUUUUAUUAUGCGUAUGCCAUGAUGCAUAUGUGGAUGUCAGAGGACAGCUAGUUCUCAGGGAUCAAUUCAGGGCAACUCAGGCCCCCUUAUCUGCUGCACUGUCUCACCAGCUGAGGUGUUCGAAUGACUCAAAAUUAAACUCUCGUUGGACACAUUUAAAUGUGUAGUAUUUCAUGCUUGCUUGCUUGCUU
ensembl:lncRNA